GAUGAACGCUGGCGGCGUGCCUAAUACAUGCAAGUCGAGCGAAUGGAUUAAGAGCUUGCUCUUAUGAAGUUAGCGGCGGACGGGUGAGUAACACGUGGGUAACCUGCCCAUAAGACUGGGAUAACUCCGGGAAACCGGGGCUAAUACCGGAUAACAUUUUGAACCGCAUGGUUCGAAAUUGAAAGGCGGCUUCGGCUGUCACUUAUGGAUGGACCCGCGUCGCAUUAGCUAGUUGGUGAGGUAACGGCUCACCAAGGCAACGAUGCGUAGCCGGCCUGGGAGGGUGAUCGGCCACACUGGGACUGAGACACGGCCCAGACUCCUACGGGAGGCAGCAGUAGGGAAUCUUCCGCAAUGGACGAAAGUCUGACGGAGCAACGCCGCGUGAGUGAUGAAGGCUUUCGGGUCGUAGAACUCUGUUGUUAGGGAAGAACAAGUGCUAGUUGAAUAAGCUGGCACCUUGACGGUACCUAACCAGAAAGCCACGGCUAACUACGUGCCAGCAGCCGCAGUAA
rnacentral:rRNA from 1 species